rnacentral:rRNA from 1 species
UUUACUGAGAGUUUGAUCCUGGCUCAGGACGAACGCUGGCGGCGUGCCUAAUACAUGCAAGUCGUGCGGACCUUUUAAAAGCUUGCUUUUAAAAGGUU